UAGCUACAGGCUUAACACAUGCAAGUCGAGGGGCAUCAGGAAGAAAGCUUGCUUUCUUUGCUGGCGACCGGCGCACGGGUGAGUAACACGUAUCCAACCUGCCCUUUACUCGGGGAUAGCCUUUCGAAAGAAAGAUUAAUACCCGAUAGCAUAAUGAUUCCGCAUGGUUUCAUUAUUAAAGGAUUCCGGUAAAGGAUGGGGAUGCGUUCCAUUAGGUUGUUGGUGAGGUAACGGCUCACCAAGCCUUCGAUGGAUAGGGGUUCUGAGAGGAAGGUCCCCCACAUUGGAACUGAGACACGGUCCAAACUCCUACGGGAGGCAGCAGUGAGGAAUAUUGGUCAAUGGGCGCUAGCCUGAACCAGCCAAGUAGCGUGAAGGGUGAAGGCUCUAUGGGUCGUAAACUUCUUUUAUAUAAGAAUAAAGUGCAGUAUGUAUACUGUUUUGUAUGUAUUAUAUGAAUAAGGAUCGGCUAACUCCGUGCCAGCAGCCGCGGUAAUACGGAGGAUCCGAGCGUUAUCCGGAUUUAUUGGGUUUAAAGGGAGCGUAGGUGGACUGGUAAGUCAGUUGUGAAAGUUUGCGGCUCAACCGUAAAAUUGCAGUUGAUACUGUCAGUCUUGAGUACAGUAGAGGUGGGCGGAAUUCGUGGUGUAGCGGUGAAAUGCUUAGAUAUCACGAAGAACUCCGAUUGCGAAGGCAGCUCACUGGACUGCAACUGACACUGAUGCUCGAAAGUGUGGGUAUCAAACAGGAUUAGAUACCCUGGUAGUCCACACAGUAAACGAUGAAUACUCGCUGUUUGCGAUAUACAGUAAGCGGCCAAGCGAAAGCAUUAAGUAUUCCACCUGGGGAGUACGCCGGCAACGGUGAAACUCAAAGGAAUUGACGGGGGCCCGCACAAGCGGAGGAACAUGUGGUUUAAUUCGAUGAUACGCGAGGAACCUUACCCGGGCUUAAAUUGCAGUGGAAUGAUGUGGAAACAUGUCAGUGAGCAAUCACCGCUGUGAAGGUGCUGCAUGGUUGUCGUCAGCUCGUGCCGUGAGGUGUCGGCUUAAGUGCCAUAACGAGCGCAACCCUUAUCUUCAGUUACUAACAGGUCAUGCUGAGGACUCUGGAGAGACUGCCGUCGUAAGAUGUGAGGAAGGUGGGGAUGACGUCAAAUCAGCACGGCCCUUACGUCCGGGGCUACACACGUGUUACAAUGGGGGGUACAGAAGGCAGCUAGCGGGUGACCGUAUGCUAAUCCCAAAAGCCUCUCUCAGUUCGGAUCGAAGUCUGCAACCCGACUUCGUGAAGCUGGAUUCGCUAGUAAUCGCGCAUCAGCCACGGCGCGGUGAAUACGUUCCCGGGCCUUGUACACACCGCCCGUCAAGCCAUGGGAGCCGGGGGUACCUGAAGUACGUAACCGCAAGGAUCGUCCUAGGGUAAAACUGGUGACUGGGGCU
rnacentral:rRNA from 1 species